rnacentral:lncRNA from 1 species
CUACGAUCCCUACCCAAGGAUCUGCAAAUUGGUCAGCAGGUCAUCAAGUCUACAAUCAAGCUAGUGCCUGAAGCAAAAAAAGCAAAGAUAUUUUCUUUCAGCAGCCUGCUGCUACAAAGCUGGCAAAUUAAAGAAUUUAGACAGAUGAAUCUGAGCCCAGUCACACAGGGUUGAAUUACAUGGAAACAUAGAUUAAAGUGAAAGGAGAAAACUGACUACUAGGAGCUGUCCUUUGACCUCCAUGCAUACACACACAUCAUAAAUAAAUGAAUAGAAGAUAGCAAGCAAGACAACUAACAGAAAAGUGUGUGUUCACUCAUUUAGGUGAAAGAUUGCAUGAGCAUCGUGGAAGCCAUGGAGUGUUUUGGGUCCAGGAAUGGCAAGACCAGCAAGAAGAUCACCACUGCUGACUAUGGACAACUCUAAUUCUUCUGACUUUUGGGCAUCUUACUCACCAGACCAUUCCUUCUGUAGCUCAGGAGAGUGUCCCCACUCCAUCUGCUCACAAUACCCUCUAAUCUCUGCUCUGAAGUUCUUU